GGAGCGAUAUCGAAGUGGUCAUAACGAGAACGACUCGAAAUCGUUUGAUCGGUGAUGAGCCGGUCCGUGGGUUCAAAUCCCACUCGCUCCGCCA
rnacentral:tRNA from 1 species